GUUAUUAAGAUCGGUCACAAUGUAAAGCAGGACUGGCUGGUACUGGCUUGCCGCGAUAUCUGCAUCGUGGCCGUCGACGACAUAAUACUGAUGUCCUACGUGCUCGACGCCGGCAAGGGCGCGCACGACAUGGACAGCCUGGUGAACCGCUAUUUUGGCCGCAGCCCGUCCCGUUUCAACGACGUCAAGAACAAAGAGAGGGCGUUGCUCACGCCGGAAGCGACACCGAUCGCGCGCACCGCCAGCUAUGCCGCCGAAGACGCCGAUGUGACGCUCCGACUUUGGCAGGCGCUGAAGCCACGCAUGGUGGCCGAACGCGUAACUACCGUCUACGACACGCUGGAGCGACCGCUCGUGCAAGUCCUCGCGCGCAUGGAGGAACGCG
rnacentral:misc_RNA from 1 species